UACAGAGGGUGCAAGCGUUAAUCGGAGUUACUGGGCGUAAAGGGCGCGUAGGCGGUCGAAGACGUGUGAUGUGAAAGCCCCGGGCUUAACCUGGGAAGUGCAUCGCAAACGAUUUGACUGGAGUACAAGAGAGGGUGGCGGAAUUUCCGGUGUAGCGGUGAAAUGCGUAGAGAUCGGAAGGAACGUCGAUGGCGAAGGCAGCCACCUGGCUUGAUACUGACGCUGAAGCGCGAAAGCGUGGGGAGCGAACAGG
rnacentral:rRNA from 1 species